rnacentral:rRNA from 1 species
CCUACGGGGGGCAGCAGUGGGGAAUAUUGCACAAUGGGGGAAACCCUGAUGCAGCGACGCCGCGUGAGUGAAGAAGUAUUUCGGUAUAUAAAGCUCUAUCAGCAGGGAAGAAGAAAGACGGUACCUGACUAAGAAGCCCCGCCUAACUACGUGCCAGCAGCCGCGGUAAUACAUAGGGGGCAAGCGUUAUCCGGAUUCACUGGGUGUAAAGGGAGCGUAGACGGCGACGCAAGUCUGGAGUGAAAGUCCGGGCCCCACCCCCGGG